CACCCUCUUAAGCUUUAGCUCCACCCAUCUCUUUGAGGAUGCACAUGUGAGGCCAUGUGCUAAACAGAGUGAGUAAGGUAGUGUAGUAAACAGAGUGAGUAAGGUAGUGUAGUAAACAGAGUGAGUAAGGUAGUGUAGUAAACAGAGUGAGUAAGGUAGUGUAGUAAACAGAGUGAGUAAGGUAGUGUAGUAAACAGAGUGAGUAAGGUAGUGUAGUAAACAGAGUGAGUAAGGUAGUGUAGUAAACAGAGUGAGUAAGGUAGUGUAGUAAACAGAGUGAGUAAGGUAGUGUAGUAAACAGAGUGAGUAAGGUAGUGUCGUCAACAACCAAAGAUUUCAAGACUAAAAGUGGUGAAAGUACAAGCAAAAAAGUAGUGGU